rnacentral:lncRNA from 1 species
ACACUUGUUGCGUUUUACCCUAUUUUGAGUUAGUAUGCAGUUGCAUCUACUUUAGGAUCAAGUUGAAGGCAAAAGAAAUGAAAACAUGCCAUUUUUGGAGCUGACCCUUAUUCAAACAUGGAAACAAGUUUCGUGACCUGCUUUGAAGUCCAAAUAAAGAAUCCAAGGCAAACCUGGCUUGGUUGAAGACUAAGAGCAGAAUGGGAAAGCAAUGGGGAUUUCUAGCCUAAUUUGGAGGUGCCAAAUAAGGCAAAAACGUGAAAAACAAAGGCUGAUUUGUUAGGAUCUCUUUGGAAUAUCUUGC